UACGUGUGGGGCAAGCGUUGUUCGGAAUUACUGGGCAUAAAGGGUGCGUAGGCGGCUUGUUAAGUCAGGGGUGAAAGUUUUCGGCCCAACCGGAAAAUGGCCUUUGAUACUGGCGAGCUUGAGUGCGUGAGGGGUAACCGGAACGAGCAGUGUAGCGGUGAAAUGCGUAGAUAUCAUUUGGAACGCCAAUGGUGAAAACAGCUCGCUGGGGGUUUGCUGACGCUGAGACACGAAAGCCAGGGGAGCAAACGGG
rnacentral:rRNA from 1 species